GAUGAAGAACGCAGCGAAAUGCGAUAAGUAGUGUGAAUUGCAGAAUUCAGUGAAUCAUCGAAUCUUUGAACGCACAUUGCGCCCCUUGGUAUUCCAUGGGGCAUGCCUGUUCGAGCGUCAUUUCAACCAUCAAGCCCCAGGCUUGCGUUGGAGCCCUGCGGCUGCCGCAGCCUCCUAAAAGCAGUGGCGGGCUCGCUAUCACACCGAGUGCAGUAGAUUACUCUUCGCUCAGGGCGUGCAGCGGGUUCCGGCCGUGAAACCCCCUACUUUUAAAGGUUGACCUCGGAUCAGGUAGGAAUACCCGCUGAACUUAAGCAUAUCAAUAAGCGGAGGA
rnacentral:misc_RNA from 1 species